GCCGCGUGAGUGAUGAAGGCCCUAGGGUUGUAAAGCUCUUUCAGCGAGGAGGAUAAUGACGUUACUCGCAGAAGAAGCCCCGGCUAACUUCGUGCCAGCAGCCGCGGUAA
rnacentral:rRNA from 1 species